UAAAAUCUACGAUCCACGACGUAUGUACAGCAUAGCGUGUAAAAAAAGAGAAGUAUCCGUUAGAAUCGCGAAGACCAUGUGGUCCGAUGCAUAUACUUAAGCUGCCAGUAUUCCGCGUCCUCCUUGUAGCGACGGGUCAGCACGACUUGUAUCUGUGUUUGUAUAUAUUAUGGGAAGCUUUCGAAGAACUUUUGAGGCGUUUACGUUAAACGUGUUGUUCGUGCUCAUAAAUUCACCGUCUUUCGAUUAUAAACAGGGUCGAUAAACCUAGACGGGGCGAUGCUCGUUGCUCGUUGAAACGUUCAACGAGCAACAAGGGAUCUGCGGGAGUUUGUACAAAGUUACAUGUUUGGAAAGGGUCAAGAAAGCAAUACACACACAGCAUAACCUAAUCAAGAUAUCUAGUCAUGAUCGCAGCAGGUACGAUGAGCUCCGGCGAUUACGAGCCCUGGCUACUCGGGGCGACGGCCCCGAGCUUCGUGCCGACGGGCAUGUUCGCCCCGAGCUCCGAGAGCUUGGCGCCCACGGAAACGCUGUUGCGCGUGAGGCCCGUGUUCCGAUGCAUCCGGCACCGGAAGGAGCCGGCGUGCGUCGUGGGCGAGCAGAGGCAGUUGCUUUUGAGGCUUCUGGACUUCGCCAGCCCGACCGGCGACGUCGGCACCGAGGCCGACCGGGACACAGUGUUCAUGGCGCUUAUGCUCGGAUUCGGGAUAGCGAUUAUAGGUUUCUCUCGUUUCUGCAUCUUUCUAGAUUCUUCUGCCAUUUUCGAUCGGGUAGAAGAAACCUAUUAAGCACAAGAAAUUUAUUAUGUGAAACGAGAUGAGAUUCGAACUCACGAUAAUUCAUUCUGGAGUUAAAUAACAAAAGAAUGAUAAUUUAACGCUAUGAAACGUAGGAAACAAACACGAAGAUAUAAUUACCUGAGAAUUAUUACAGAUCAAAUGUGUUGCAAAGGUUGUUGAUUGUGUUUUUUCCUCAAAUUUUUUCUCUCUUUUUUGUUAUUGAUUAUAUCUUUCUCUCUGUUUCCCAAUUUCGUCCACAGUUUUUCUGAAUCUUU
rnacentral:lncRNA from 1 species